GUUGGAUUCUGCAUGAAAAUUUUCAAUUUGGAUCUGAUUUAUAUGGAGGCCUUUCAAUAUGAAUGCCUUCUUGGAAAUUAUCCUGUUUCAACUGUCUUAAAGAUGGUCAAUGAGAAAUGUGAGCAUAUUCAAUUAUGUCCUGCCCCUUUCCCUGACAACCACGGUUUCAUUCUCUGUUUCUUUAUAUAUGAACAUGAAAAAUAAAUUCUACAUAUAAAUGAGA